rnacentral:rRNA from 1 species
CGGAAGGAUCAUUAAAUAAUCAAUAAUUUUGGCUUGUCCAUCAUUAUCUAUUUACUGUGAACUGUAUUAUUACUUGACGCUUGAGGGAUGUUCCAAUGCUAUAAGGAUAGGCACUGGAAAUGUUAACCGAGUCAUAAUCAAGCUUAGGCUUGGUAUCCUAUUAUUAUUUACCAAAAGAAUUCAGAAUUAAUAUUGUAACAUAGACGUAAAAAAUCUAUAAAACAACUUUUAACAACGGAUCUCUUGGUUCUCGCAUCGAUGAAGAACGUAGCAAAGUGCGAUAACUAGUGUGAAUUGCAUAUUCAGUGAAUCAUCGAGUCUUUGAACGCAACUUGCGCUCAUUGGUAUUCCAAUGAGCACGCCUGUUUCAGUAUCAAAACAAACCCUCUAUCCAACUUUUGUUGAAUAGGAUGACUGAGAGUCUCUUGAUCUAUUUUGAUCUUGAACCUCUUGAAAUGUACAAAGGCCUGAUCUUGUUUGAAUGCCUGAACUUUUUUUUAAUAUAAAGAGAAGCUCUUGCGAUAAAACUGUGCUGGGGCCUCCCA